CAGGAGGCUCAGGGCUAUGUCACCUUCUUUCAGAUAGACGGAAGAAGAUACUCACAAGAGGCAACAGUGUGAGGCUCUUUCAGGACUAAAAGCAGAAAAAAACACCUCUGGGCCCCUACCGGGAUAUUCAAGAUUUUUUUUAGGAAAUUCAGUAAUAUUCCAAAUCCACUGACUGAAACCAGAGCUUUAAACUCAUUCAAUAGCUGGUGGAAGCCUCUUCAUUUUUGACUUUUCACCUAAACUUAACACCAUGAACAUCUCUCUUGAAAACCCUUAUGGAGACGUCGCCAUCCCCCGUGCCAAGCUGCGGGGUGACUCCAGCACCAUCAUCAUAAAUCCCAUGGCCUUAGAGAGCUCCUAUAACCGUACCUCUGCCACGAACCCUUACAGCAGCUUUAAAACGGCAGGAGAGAACAACCCCUCAAACGUGCCGGUGUACGGGGAGGUCAAGAACGGGAGCCAGAACCCUCCUCCUUACAGCAUCCAGACAGGUUACACCGUGAGGGAUGAUACAGAGCAGGUAGGACGCUGCUACGCUUGUUGCUGCCGCUGUCGAAUGAAGAAAUGAGACGUGCUUCCCGGUGCAAAGAAUUAUGGGUUUACAAAACGGAGGGAACAGGAUGAGGAGGAAUUUGUCUAGAACUCCCAAACCCUGUCAAACUGUGUUGUUGUGAAGCUAAACAUCACAGUGCUUAAAUGACCAGACUGCUACUGUAAGGAUUGCACAAAAAGAAUGAAACCUUUAACGGUAAUUUUGGAUUAAUUUGUCAAAGAUUGCUUUUGUUAAAUUGACACAGUUCAAUUCAUUUCUGCAUUUCUUUUGUUGAUCCACCUAACAAGCCGUUCCUUUGUGCACCGAUAAGUUUUACAAUGACACCGCUCUAUAUGAUUGUGACAAUUUGGCCUACCUGAGAUUGUUUUUUAUAUUAUAUCUCGAUGGGCUCGUUCAAGUUUCUAUUGAUCAAAGUGAUCAGGACUGUGGAACACAACCCACAACACUGUGUGAUGCAGGACUGUGAAACUGGAAACCACAUUGUUUUACAAAGACCACAAAGGGACACUUUCAACUUUUCCAGAAGAAUGACUUGUGCCAUUCAAGUUUCUACGUAACAAGCUUUUCUGGUUGUUCUUAACAAACAGCUGAUACCCAGGAACCUGGACCGUUAUUGCUUCGACAAAAUAAAAAACAUAAAUGCAACUUUACUGGAUCUUUACAUAAAAUAACAUAUUUAUAGUGUGGAUUGAUGAUUAAUACACAAUUAAUGAUAAGCAAUAUUUUGCAGGAUUGCUCAUACGCAGUUUUGCGAACCUGAGAUUGAAAAGUGAAUUGGUUUAAACCUCUAGAUGUUAGGCAUGAGUAAUGUUUGGUUUUAAAAUGAUGUAUGUUCUUUAUCACAAUGUCCUUGAAUUAAGUAGUCCUACGCCUAGUUUCCAUCAAGGUGACUCAGUGACGACAAAUUCUUUCAACUUGAGUAGGUGAUGACAAGCUUUGAUACAGCAGAACCGGUUUGGGAUACUUUGAUAGAGCUCAAAGUAUUUCCUGGAAUAAAACACAACAAGGCUAACUGAGGCUAGACCAACCGGUUUAAUGAUGUAAAGAAACUCGUGUCACAUGGAAAAGUGCAGUCCCGCAGAACUGAAGAAAACUAUGUGCAGUAUUUACAUAAAAAAUGUAUGUAAUGAAGGUUUCUUGUGACGUCACUUUGUUUGCUAGGAAUUAAAAGCAAAGGAAGAGAGGUUAAAACAAGUAAUGUAUUAUUGGUUUUCCUGAAAAAGAGGACCAAUUCAGUGUAAAAUAAUAACUCUUGAAUAUAAAUGAAAUGGAUUGAAUAAAAUGUUGGAAAAUUGAUAA